rnacentral:misc_RNA from 1 species
AUCACCCCUCAAGCCCCGUGCUUGGUGUUGGACGGUUUUGGUCGAGUGUUCUCGACCCCUCCUAAAGACAAUGACGGCGGCCUGCGGAUCCCCCGGUACACUGAGCUUUUCACCGAGCACGUAUCGGACAAGGGCGCCCAGGCCACGGUCCUCUCCUCUAACCAGGAAACAUUUUCAAGG